rnacentral:lncRNA from 1 species
GCCUUGAACUUUGCCCGACUUCGGUACUUCUAAAUGGACAUUUCUUCUUAUUGUGUCCUUCACUCCUACACCACCCACAUUUUUUAAUUUGUUGAGAUUGAGAAUCAUCCAUUUCGUUGUGUAUACGUGUAGUUUUUGGUCUCCCAGUACGGUUCCUACGCAUAAGGGGAUUAGGAAUGAAGGUUGGACCUAAAUAAGGAGGUCAAUAUUCUUCAUUUGCAAUAGGUUGAAACUCAUGUCCAUAAACCUUCUGCAAGUUCUCUAACCUAUAAAUUUGUGAUAUAAACUGCACAUAGUCUAAGUUCAAUGAUGCACAAGUAGCAAUAAC